CAGGAGCUAUAGUGCCAUUGGUUGAGUUCAAUGUUAAUCUAUCAACAAUGUAUUCAAAUAAAAUGUCUUUAAACAGAAACACACAUGAAAUAGGAUUUGUAUUGAUCAGUUGAGGUGGACUAACAAGUACCUAACCUUAUGUUUUCCCUAGGUGCAUUGAUUUAGUAUUCACUAAUUCAGAGAUCCAGGCAACUUUAUAAACCACUAUGUGAAUAAUGAGAGUUAGUUGUCUAUGGCUUAAGCUUCUAAACACCAGAAGCUUAUAUUGGCAUUAGUGUGUUUAUGCACAAAGCCUUUUGUAGGAAUAUAUUUGGCUUAAUCUGUCCAGGCAUGUAGCUUUUCCAUUUCUGGAGAGAGAAUAAAUAAAAGGAGUUAGUCCAUUUUAUCUUUCACACCUCUUUACAUUGAUCUUCUUUUGUCUUUAAAUGUUUCAUCACAGGCCAGAUUGUAGAUACAUGGAAUAAUGACCUCAAUCCUGUAAAAAAUAACUAUAGUUUCAUUUGGUGGAAUAGGUUUUCUACUUUUAGGUUUGAACUGAUCAUCAUCUGGGUGAGGAAGUGCCUGCUUCGGUUUCACUUCAUGGUACACUUUUGAACAGUUAUAUGUGCAUGGGGGUUUUCUGCUUUAUGUGAGGAACUUUUAUCAGAUCAUAUUUGUGAUAAAAUUAAAAAAAAACCCUUUCCAUCAUCAUUGUCAACAUAAAGAUUAUGUUUACUGAUUUUUAGAAAAAAUUUUCUUUCCUACAUGACAUUUGUAGCAAAAGUCUUUCUUAUGGCUAUAUUUUACCAUGAAAAAAGAAUGAAAAACAUUAUCAGAAAUCAUGCAUUUCACAUAAACUCAGCAAUGAAGAGCUUAUGAAAUACAAAUCUUAGGAAAUCUUAAUUAGCUUCACUUUGGUGACUGAAUCCAGUGAUCAAAGAAAAAUCUUUUGCUCUUGCUACAACUGAUUCAUAACUUUAGGUCUGAAGGAAGAUUUCUGUUUGUGGAGCUAUAUAUACGGUCAGAUUUUCUGCUUCCUUUAUUGGUACCCACAGAUUGGUUUGUAAUUAACUGCUACCCUUGCUCUCUUAUGUUAGAUGUCUGGAGAGAGGAAAUAAGGAGCUGGUAUCAUGAUUCCUUCUCUAAGGUUUUGGAAGCAGUUUACUUAUGCAAUAUCCUUUUGUUUGACUGAAGUUCUAUAAAACUCUCAAGAAAAAAAAUAGAUUAUAGAAGAACUGCUGAUGUGGCCUCAUCUUAAGCAGUAGGUACAUAGUAACAUAUAGGUAGCUAGUAAACCCCUUUUAUUCUAACAACAUAAGAUAAUACAUACUCUGGUGAAACAAAGUUAAGUUCUUAGAACUAGCUAAGGUCUCGAGUGAAUAUUAUUUCUUCAGUUAUUUCUAGAUAAAAAUUUAAUGAGUUAAUAAUUAUAUUUCCAAGUUCAGUACCAUAUUGGAACUAUACUAUGUGAUUUUAAAGAUCCUUUUUUAAUGAUUAGAGGUUAAGAUUAUAUAUUUUAAAAUUUCAACUUGUCAAUACAAAAAACUUGUGGAGGGUAGGUCUAAGGUGGGAGUCCAAUAUCUUUUUUGUGUGAUUUCUUAUGGAUACAUUCCCAGAAUGCCAGUAUAUACCAUAGAAAUGCUGACAGUUUUCAAAAUUUUUAUUGUAACUCUACCUAUGAGCAUUUUAAAAGUAAAUAUUCUGCUUUGUAGUUGUCUUUGACUUUCAGAGAUCACGGUGAAAUCAUCUUUUGUUGACUUCCUUUUGAGGGGGGCAAAGAUGUAUAUUUAUCACAAUUGAUAUUUAUGUCCAAAAUCUUACCAAUGUGUUCAGGUAAUUAGGACAAAAUUGUUUAUGAAAAAAGGAGAUGUACAGAGAGCAUAUGAAAAGCUACAGAUAUCUUUAACAAAAAUUGCUAAUAUUUGCACUUCUAUAGUACAGAAACAUGAAAUUUAACAUGUCUGUCUCUCAAAUGCAUGCCUUUUGGGGUAUGAUGAACCUGAUGGUAAAUCCAUUUGCUGAAGCUCUCAGCCAUUAAGAUCACAUGUUCCCUAACAAAAGACUCCACUCAAUUACAAGAUCACAAGGGGACCUGGCAAGUCAGCUCCCAGCAUCAAGGUCCAUGAAUGAAGACCUUUAAUCUACUUAAGACCAGCCUUUCACACUAGCAAAUUUGCAGAGGCAUUUUUUCCCUUCUCUAGAUUUUUAACAUGUGAAUAAAAUUCAAUGUUUAUCAAGCUUUAUAAGCCCCAUUGUUUAUGUAGCUCUUGGAUACAUAAAUAACUUCAUCAGAAGUUUCUAUCAAUCUAAGCAGUGUUACCUCUGCAAAGUGUCUCCCUUAUUAUUCCUUGUAGCCUUUUUACUUGCUCUUCCCUCUAUCAAGAAAUACUUCAGGUAUUUUCAUGACUCUCUUACUUCAUUCAAACCUCUCAGAAAGGCUUUCUCUGACCACCUGUUAUUAACUCUCAAUACCCUUCUAGUAUUUUUGGUUUUUCAUUCAUAGAACUUUCUGCUACCUUAAAAAUAUCAUUAUCUCUUUGCUGUGAUCAUCAGAAUGUUAUAUCUUACAAAUAGGGACCUAGACUAAAAAAAUAUAUACUGCUCUGUAUUCCAAGCAUCAAACAUAUCCCUAAUACAAAGGAAUAGGCACACAAUAUUUGUAGAAUAGAUAAACAAUUUCAUUGCUAUCUUUUUUCCUUUUAUUCUUUCUUUUCAUUUUCAUCAGCAUUAGGAAGGAUAAAGAUAUUAAAAAUUAGAAUAGGCGAAGAUAGUCAAAGUUAAAAAGGUGAUAGACAUCUCAAAGUGUUUAGGCAAUAAAACAUCUCAAAGCCUAAGAGAGACUUGCUAGAUUCAUAUCCUGGCUCUUAUGCUUGCUAAUGUGCAAACAUGGAUAAAUUACUCAAGCUCUCUGUAUCUUAGUUUCUUUAAAGUAAUCAUGGGACAUGUGUCUAAUCACACUGAAUUAUUUUAAAAAUUAAGUGUAUUAAUUUAGAUAAAGUGUUUGGACAAGUACCUAGUAUAUAAGCAUGUAUUUAGUGUUGGCUACUAUUGUUAGUAUCUAGUUUAAAAUAUUUGGAAAAGGAAAGAGACCUAGCUGUGGGAUAUGGGAUGAUAUGGAAUAGAAAUAAUUUGAUCAAAAUAUAUAAUUAUUCUGUACAUUUGCUACUCAGUGAGCUAAUAGAGGCAGUGAUCUUAAUUACAACCUUUUUUUUUUUUGUAAAUGCCCCUUCUUAUUGAGAUGAACCAGUAGUUGCAAAAUUGCAAAUCUAUCAGAAUAAGUUUAGCAUUUUUCAAUUCACCUAUGCAAAUUAAUCAUUUGUAAUAGUUUAUCUAGGGGCAUGUUUUCCCCUGCUUCAGCUUUGGAAGCUAGGAUAAAUGUAACAUAUUAGGAAGCAGGAAAUAGAUGGGAGUAGAAUGUUUACAACUUGUUACUCCUUAUUUGCUAAUAAGCAAAUGCCUAUCAAUAUCUCUAUGUAAAGACCACCUCCCAGCAAAAUAUAGACAUGAUACACAGAGAGAAAUUGAGACACACAGGUACAUUUCCUGUCCAUGGCCAAUAUUGAGAGCAAGCAUGGCUCUUCCCCUUUGGAGAGCUAAAUUGGCUUUGGGAUCCUUCUAAGCACAGCAUUCCUAGCAAACACUCCAACCAAUCAGAACUUGUGUAAGCUCUCCUGGACCAUGGAUUUUUGUCAUCUUGAUGUUUUUCUAUAUUACCAAAAUCUAGAACAGUCCUGGCACAGAGUAGGUACUCAGCCAAUAUUAGUUGAUUAGGUAAAUAAAUAAUUAUUAUAUCUUUGACUUAGUUCUUUUGCAUUUCAGGUAAUAAAGUCAUAUUUUUUUAAGGCUAGUGCUGAUGCCUCCAUAUACAUGAGAAAUUGGAGUAAGGAGACAACACCUCACGUUACUCCUAUUUUAUGCAAGGUUUUGUAACUGAGGUAAAAUUAUUUGUAGUUCUUCUGCCAAUCCACUCACCCUAAUCCGCUCACUCCUCUGUUUUGUUACAUUGAAAUAACUGAAAAGCUCUUCUCUGGUCUCCACCUUAGCCCAAGUAUUUUCUCAUGACCCACAUCCACCCUGACACACAAUUUUAUGUUUAUCCAGCCUUCCUGGUCAUUUAUCCUCAUUCAUAGUCUCACUUCCUUAUUGUUGCCUCCUUCCUAUAGAUCUGCAAAAGCAUCCUGGACCAUUGACAUGGCUCUGAUCUAGGUCUUUGUUUUCUUUCUUUUUCUGAUUUGAGUCCCUGUGCUUCUUAGAACCAAGGCCACCUUGCUCAAAACUAGGUUACUUUGGUAUGGGGAGGCUUCCUGCACAUUCUACUGGGGAGUGUCUCAGUAUUCAUCUUCUCUCACUAGAUAUAAUGUUAAACUGAGUAAAGUUAUCCUCCUGGGAUACACACACAUCGACGCAGACACAAACACCCCCCCCCCCACACACACACACAUUUUUUUGUAAUUGUAUUCACCUAAGGCUCAAUAAUGGCAGCAACAUAAGUAGUAAGCUCAUGGAUCUGAUAUGAUUUACAUUCAAUUUGAUGUUUUGAGAAUUAUCCCUUAUUAGUGAUAUUAAUAUAUUUUAAAGGACCAUAUAUUGCAUUCAUUUCACCCUUUAGUUCCUGAAUGGCUCUUUAUUUCAAAUAGCCAUUGAGUGCUAAUAACCAAUAUUGAGGAAUACUGUUUCAUGGUGCACAUUUAUUUCAUACACUAUUGAAAAAUAAUAAGAAAGAACUUUGGGAUAUGCUGCUUGCUAUAGUUGAUUAUUUGAAUUUGGCAUACUUUUGUUUUGAGUGAACAAUUACAUUUUGGUACCUUGAGAAUUUAUAAGCACAAAUGUAUGUAAAUAAGUAGGCAGAUUUAUUAAUUUAAAAGAGCAGGGGUGUUUGAAAGUUUUUAUUUGUAGUCUAUCCAAUAAUAUUUAAUAAUACUAAUUUAGGUAUCUCCUACAUACAUUAAUAACGCUAGAGGAGUGUCUGCUGUGGUGUGGUGGACUAAGAAUCUGACUACAGGAGCUCCCAUCAUGGCUCACCGGUUAGUAAACCCAACUAAAAUCCAUGAGGAUGCAGGUUCAAUCCCUGGCCUCGCUCAGUGGGUUAAGUAUGCUGCACGGCUGUGAGCUGUGGUGUAGGUCACAGACAUGGCUUAGAUUCUGACAUAGGCUGCGGCUACAGCUCCGAUUGGUCCCCUAGCCUUGGAACCUCCAU
rnacentral:lncRNA from 1 species